rnacentral:pre_miRNA from 1 species
AUAGUACUCCCUCCGUCCAGAAAUACUUGUCCUAAAAAUGGAUAAAAUGAAUGUAUCUAUAACUAAAAUAAGUCUAGAUACAACCAUUUCGAGAACAAGUAUUUUCGGACAGAGGGAGUAUGAA